GCGCCUGUAGCUCAGUCGGAUAGAGCACGAGACUUCUAAUCUCGGAGUCGGGGGUUCGACUCCCUCCAGGCGCGCCA
rnacentral:tRNA from 1 species